CAUUAAAGAAUCGCCCCGUUUUUCGAAAUGGGUUCUAUUCCCAAACCGUGUAUACAUACCUUUGUUGCUUUGGCAGGCCGCCUUUUAGGCGUCGGCUUCGGCUGACUGCGCCUGCCAGAGGACCCAAACUCGUUUGUUUAGUGAUGUCUGAGUACUAUAUAAUAGUUAAAACUUUCAACAACGGAUCCCUUGGUUCUGGCAUCGAUGAAGAACGCAGCGAAAUGCGAUAAGUAAUGUGAAUUGCAGAAUUCAGUGAAUCAUCGAAUCUUUGAACGCACAUUGCGCCCCUUGGUAUUCCGAGGGGCAUGCCUGUUCGAGCGUCAUUAUAACCACUCAAGCCUCGGCUUGGUCUUGGGGUUCCGCGGUCUCCCGGCCCUUAAAAUCAGUGGCGGUGCCAUCUGGCUCUAAGCGUAGUAAUUUCUCUCGCUAUAGGGUCCCGGUGGUCUCCUGCCAGAACCCCCCCAUUUUUUACGGUUGACCUCGGAUCAGGUAGGGAUACCC
rnacentral:rRNA from 1 species